CAGCUUGCUGGGUGGAUUAGUGGCGAACGGGUGAGUAACACGUGAGUAACCUGCCCCCGACUCUGGGAUAAGCCCGGGAAACUGGGUCUAAUACCGGAUAUUACCUCUUGCCGCAUGGCAGGUGGUGGAAAGAUUUAUCGGUGGGGGAUGGACUCGCGGCCUAUCAGCUUGUUGGUGAGGUAAUGGCUCACCAAGGCGACGACGGGUAGCCGGCCUGAGAGGGUGACCGGCCACACUGGGACUGAGACACGGCCCAGACUCCUACGGGAGGCAGCAGUGGGGAAUAUUGCACAAUGGGCGAAAGCCUGAUGCAGCGACGCCGCGUGAGGGAUGACGGCCUUCGGGUUGUAAACCUCUUUCAGUAGGGAAGAAGCGAAAGUGACGGUACCUGCAGAAGAAGCGCCGGCUAACUACGUGCCAGCAGCCGCGGUAAUACGUAGGGCGCAAGCGUUAUCCGGAUUUAUUGGGCGUAAAGAGCUCGUAGGCGGUUUGUCGCGUCUGCCGUGAAAGUCCGAGGCUCAACCUCGGAUCUGCGGUGGGUACGGGCAGACUAGAGUGAUGUAGGGGAGACUGGAAUUCCUGGUGUAGCGGUGAAAUGCGCAGAUAUCAGGAGGAACACCGAUGGCGAAGGCAGGUCUCUGGGCAUUUACUGACGCUGAGGAGCGAAAGCAUGGGGAGCGAACAGGAUUAGAUACCCUGGUAGUCCAUGCCGUAAACGUUGGGCACUAGGUGUGGGGGGA
rnacentral:rRNA from 1 species